rnacentral:rRNA from 1 species
ACGAACGCUGGCGGCGUGCUUAACACAUGCAAGUCGAACGGUGAAGCGCCUUCCUUUUUGGUGGGUGUGGAUGAGUGGCGAACGGGUGAGUAACACGUGAGUAACCUGCCCCCUUCUUCUGGAUAACCGCAUGAAAGUGUGGCUAAUACGGGAUAUUCUGGGUCUGUCGCAUGAUGGGUCUGGGAAAGAUAUUGUUUCGGUGGGGGAUGGGCUCGCGGCCUAUCAGCUUGUUGGUGGGGUGAUGGCCUACCCAGGCGGUGACGGGUAGCCGGCCUGAGAGGGUGGACGGUCACACUGGGACUGAGACACGGCCCAGACUCCUACGGGAGGCAGCAGUGGGGAAUAUUGCACAAUGGGCGCAAGCCUGAUGCAGCGACGCCGCGUGAGGGAUGGAGGCCUUCGGGUUGUGAACCUCUUUCGCCAGUGAAGCAGGCCUGCCUCGUUUGUGGGUGGGUUGACGGUAGCUGGAUAAGAAGCGCCGGCUAACUACGUG